ACACACACACACAAGUUAGAGGUGUUUAAAACCUCUAAGGGAUGGUUAAAUCCAAAGGCACUCCUGGUGAUUACCUGCGUAGGUACAGUCCUUGGUAAAAGGUAUGCGGUAGCAGGUAAUUCAGCAGGUAAACCGUAGUUUAAAUUAUAUGCAAGAAGAAAAUGGAGGUAAAAUAAAAGCAAGAAGUUGGAGAUUCGGAAG